CAUUGCUGUUAAAACACAGUGUCAUAGACACAUCGCUUCUUGGCCUUUUGGCUAAGGUCAAGUGUAGUAUCUAGUCUUGUCAGUUUAAUAUCUGAUACGUCCUGUAUCUGAGGGCAUUAUAUUAAAUGGAUAUUUGGAGCUCGGAAAUGGAAUAGCAGAUUGUUCCAUUCACUCUGCACAUCGACCUGGUAUGGUAGUACUUCUGGGAAUGGUGCACCCCCUCGGGGUAUAAGAAAAAAAGGUGUCACAGACGUUACUGGUUAUUAAGAAUUAAGUCCAUACUUCAUCCUCCAUGCCUCAAAAUCAAGUUGGGUAUUUAAUGCAAUUUGUAUUUCAUUAAUGACAACUAAUCUUGAGCAUCUUUCCUGUGUUUUUUCUUUCUUAACAAUCUGUAUAGCUUCUUCAGUGAAGUGCCUAAUUAGUGUUCUUUGAGGGUCCAAGUGUUUGUUGUGUCUAAAAUUGCAAUAUUCCAAAGCCAAUAUGUUUUUGUAGGUUUAAACACUAGAAGAUCUACUAUAAGCAUCAUGUCUCUGGUACACAAGGCUUUACUUCUCUAAUUGUCUCCCAGACCCGGGAGACAGAACAGUCUAAAUGGAGCACAGGUUGUAUCCCAAGCAUGGGACUGUUCUGUCAAUUUCACUGGCCAAACGCUGGCCCUGGUAAACAUACAUCUAGCAGACCUUUGCUUUUUAGGUAGCAGCAUGCACUUCUGACACUGCUGAGGGCAUUUUUCUUCAUGAGAGCCCCUCUGAGGAAUCUGAGUGCUCUGGGAUUUGUCCUCACCAUUCAACAAAUGAGGACAUCAUUUAAGGAAUUACUGAAAAGCAGGAUAUACCUUGGUAAAAAU